rnacentral:rRNA from 1 species
GCGGCGUGCCUAAUACAUGCAAGUCGAGCGGACUUGAUGGAGAGCUUGCUCUCCUGAUAGUUAGCGGCUCGACGGGUGAGUAACACGUAGGCAACCUGCCUGCAAGACCGGGAUAACCCACGGAAACGUGAGCUAAUACCGGAUAUCUCAUUCCCUCUCCUGAGGGGAUGAUGAAAGACGGAGCAAUCUGUCACUUGCGGAUGGNNNNNNNNCGCAUUAGCUAGUUGGUGAGGUAACGGCUCACCAAGGCGACGAUGCGUAGCCGACCUGAGAGGGUGAACGGCCACACUGGGACUGAGACACGGCCCAGACUCCUACGGGAGGCAGCAGUAGGGAAUCUUCCGCAAUGGGCGAAAGCCUGACGGAGCAACGCCGCGUGAGUGAUGAAGGUUUUCGGAUCGNAAAGCUCUGUUGCCAGGGAAGAACGUCCGAUAGAGUAACUGCUAUCNNAGUGACGGUACCUGAGAAGAAAGCCCCGGCUAACUACGUGCCAGCAGCCGCGGUAAUACGUAGGGGGCAAGCGUUGUCCGGAAUUAUUGGGCGUAAAGCGCGCGCAGGCGGUCAUUUAAGUCUGGUGUUUAAGGCCAAGGCUCAACCUUGGUUCGCACUGGAAACUGGGUGACUUGAGUGCAGAAGAGGAGAGUGGAAUUCCACGUGUAGCGGUGAAAUGCGUAGAUAUGUGGAGGAACACCAGUGGC